UCGUUACGUUGUUGAUAUCUUAAUUGAUAAUUGGGGUUCUAAUUACAAAUAGAAGGCUGGCAAAUAUCGAUGAUAUUUUCCACCACCUCGACUGAAAUCAGUCUAACUAUAAAAUAAUGUCGCAAUCAGAGGAGAACGCCAUCCAACUGUAGUUUAUGUCCACAGAUAACACCGAGGUGCUUUCAAAUGUUGCUUUGGGGAGGAACAUUGGGUUGAAAAAUCUAAUGAAGAGAACCGCAGUCGAGAUCUUCGUCGCAAAGAAAUAUCGCACGUCUUUCUUCCAAUUUUGAAGUUAAUGAAGCUCACUGGUGAAUGCUAUGGGGACCUUUCUUUCGAAUAAUUUUCGCAUCGAAGAAGCCUCUUUUGUCGUCUCUACUGUAUGAUGGUGGUACUCGGGCAAUGGUUCGUUGCAAUACAGGUUCUCACAAGUCUUUUUUGUGAGGGUUUUGGAAAACUUCCAACAUUUUACUUUUUGUUGACUUUCAGCAUUUUGGUGUGCAAAGUCUGCUGUAGUGUCAACAAUAUGCCUUUUCGUUUUUCCCAAAAGGAUAGAAAAGCCUUCUCGCCUUGAAAAACUUGUGAAUGACUUAGUCUCACCAUCAUCUUAUUUGAGUGGAGUCAAUACGCGUAAACUUAGAUUCGCUCUAAUUUUUGUGGGCAUCUUUUGCACAUGCAACUCUAUUUGCCUCGCACUUCUUGAAUUUUAUGGACAUAGCUCAGUGGCCCGUUUUUGUCCAUGGAAUGGGCUUCUUGUAUAUCGCACGAUCCAUCUGGUUUUUGGAGCAUAUAAUUGCUUUUCGUGGCUAUUACCGUUGGUAUUGUUCUUUGCCUCAUGCGAAGUACUGAUCACAAUGUCUGUACAUUUAGAAAGAAAAAUAUCAGAAGAGAGCAGCAAAGGAUUAAGCAUGAAGUCAUUGAGACAGGAACAUCUUAAACUCUGUGAAACAGUAGCUCUUGCAGACAAAGUAUUUUCCCCAAUUCUUCUGUUUGUAGUUUCCCUGGAUGUUCCUUUGAUAUGCAUUAAUGUUCAUCAGGGAGUACGACUGUCAUCUUUUAGUAAAAGCGACAUCACAUUUGUAAUAAGCGUUUCGUAUUAGUGUAUUUUAUUAGCUGGAAAGCUAGUAUUUAUCUUGAUCUGUGGAAUCAGAGUCAACGAGAAGAUUCAUAACUUUUAUAACAUCUUACAAUAUGUCAAUGUCCCGGAUACCAAAGAGCAUUUGGAGCUGCUGGGCAUAAUCAUAUCUUAUAUUGCUGUUUUGCUCACCCUGCCGAGUUAGACGAAUGGUAACGUUAGAGAGUAUAGAACAGCCACCGUCCAUAGCAUGGAUAUUGACGAAACGUGGGGUCGAAAUGGAGUUUCCUAAUGCAUUAUGGAUGAUAAAAAGGAUCGAAGCUUCUUUGCUUGUGACGCAUUUGCUGUUUUUGAUGAUUUUAAUAUAUAUGCAAUUUUAUUUGCCCGUGUAAGAAAAAAUGUCAUCAUAAAUUCAUUUCACUGGACAACUCUAAAAGGAGAUGUCUAUUUCAUUGAAAUUAUUGAAAUAAAUAGAUAUGUAAAGGAGAAUUUUCCGGAUUUUUGGUAUAAGCAAUUUUUUUUUAUAAAAAUAUUUAAAUCAGGUUAGAAUUGUUUGUUUCCCUCUUCUUUAUUUUCCAUUUGGAAAAUUUUUCUUCGUCUUCAAAUUCAAGUAAAUAAAAAGAUGCUAACAUGAGAACCUGGUAUAAGUAGUGAUGGCAUGGUUAAUUUUCGGUUCAAAAGCAUUCCUGUUAAAUUUUUCUCCUUCUUUUCCUAUAAAACAUUGAUUAUUGCCAAACUAUUUGCAAAGGUAAUCAGUUGAAGUAACCAAUCCUAUCUUCGACAAACAUCCUCUAAAUUCUAUCUAUUCCCUUUUCCAGUUCAUUAUCAUUCAUAUUUCCUGAUGUAUUAUAUAUAUCUUUCCAGUGUUUCGGUCAUUUGGACCUUUGUAAUGUAAACAUGGGGACUUAAAUUAAUUAACUUUAUCAUUCUGGCGAAUUUAAGUUGCCAUAUUUUCAUUUCAUGAUCGUUAUUCCGACUAGUUCCAUAGACUCCUCUUGCUGGAUUGAUAGCAAAUUCAAUAAAGAGAAAAAAAGAAGGUAGGGGCCGGGUAUAACCUUGAAAUUUAGGUAACAUCUAUUACAGAUCAAUCGUGGCAUUUAACAAUAUAAAAGUUAACAGAUGAUUAAAAAUAUGAUAUAUUACUUUUUUCAUUUAGAUUUGUUUCAUAAUGAGAUGUGACAAAUUUACUUCAUAAAAGCCUUCCUGGAGAAGUUGUUGAAAAGCGACAAUUCAAGAGAGAGGGACACAAUUUUCUUCUUUACUUUCUUAUAUUGGUGGAUGGGCCUGUCGUCGCAGAUAGCAGUCAUCUUCAUGUUUGGAAUUAGAGUUCAUGAGAAGAUCCAUGGUAUUUAUGACGCCUUACAGCAGAUUGUCGUCGCUGAUUGUAAAGAACACUUGGAGUUGCUUCAUUUCUUGAUGCAUCUUCGUGGAGAGCCAAUCGGGAUGUCCGUGGGAGGACUGGUGGUGAUAAACAAAUCACUUCUUCUUUCGGUGGUUGGGAUAAUCAUCUCAUAUCUUGCAGUACUGUUAACAUUACCGGCAUAAAUGGCUUUCCUUGACGAUGCUGUGACAGUGUAGUGUGGGUUUUUUGGUUGCUAUGGGAAACAAGCCAAUGCGAAUGAAAUAGGCGGGGCGUUUUGAUCAUUUUAACAUUUACAUGACUCGCGAUUAUUGUAAAUCAUCAAGGAAGAUGAUUUAACUGGAUUGAAAAAUUAGCUAAGGUAAUGUAUUAAGUAAUCACGUUAUCAAGAUAAUUUGUUUCGUCCUCUUAUGCUCCAAUGACGAAAAAGUUAUGAAGGAUUUCCCAGUCUACUAACAGGAGCGAUUCUCAAGUGUCAGAAGUUUUGCAGAAUUGCUUUAUUUCUGCUCUUAUUAGACCUGUCUUUGUUAAGAAAACACGCAUCAUCCUCUCGACCAAUCAAGUGAUAAAUGAACUAUUAUCGUGACCUUGUUACUUGCGUCCUCAUUAACUAAUGAUGAUGUUAAUCAUUGUUAUGCAGUUUGGUUGCUACGAUUCUGGCUUUAUGACAGCUAAUUAGAAGUUGCUUAAGAUGGGCGAAUUUCUUUGAAUUUACAACUGUUACGUUUUCCUUUCGGCUAAGAAAUUCAAAAACUGAACUGUGCGUUCUUAAAAGUAGUAAAGUACCACGACGCUUCAGAAGAAUUUGUAUAGAAUAGUUAAGAGUAUUUCACUCAUUACCUCUCGUGUUUAGAAUGCAAAUGUAACCUUACUAUUUAGAAACUGAUAAAAAUAAACAUAAUAAUAAUAAUGAUGAUGAUAUCAAUCAUUUUAUUUAUAAAAAUUAGUGUCACUGUAUUCAUAAUAAUGAAUUACUUAACCAAUAUUAUUAGCGAAUAGUGAUUAAUGCAGA
rnacentral:misc_RNA from 1 species